rnacentral:rRNA from 1 species
CGCACAGUAAACGAUGAAUACUAACUGUUUGCGAUAUACAGCAAGUGGUAAAGCGAAAGCGUUAAGUAUUCCACCUGGGGAGUACGCCGGCAACGGUGAAACUCAAAGGAAUUGACGGGG